rnacentral:rRNA from 1 species
GAUGAACGCUGGCGGCGUGCCUAACACAUGCAAGUCGAACGAAAAGAGGGAAAGAGUUUGCUUUUUCCGGAAUUGAGUGGCAAACGGGUGAGUAAUACGUAAACAACCUGCCUUCAGGAUGGGGACAACAGACGGCGACGACUACUAAUACCGAAUAAGUUCCAAGAGCCGCACGGCACAUGGAAGAAAAGGUGGCCUCUAUCUGUAAGCUAUCGCCUGCAGAGGGGUUUGCGUCUGAUUUGACGGUUGGGGGGGUCACGGCCCACCAAGGCGACGAUCAGUAAGCGGUCUGGGGAGGUGGACGGCCACACUGGGACUGGGACACGGGCCAAGCUCCUACGGGGAGCAACCGGUGGGGAUCAUCCGCAAUGGGCGGAAGCCCUGAGGGAGAACGCCCCGUGGGUGGUGGCGGGCUUCGGGUUGUAAAACUCUGUGAUCCGGGGCGAAAAGGCAGAGUGCGAAGAACAACCUGCAUUGACGGUACCGGAAAAGCAAGCCACGGCUAACUACGUG